rnacentral:lncRNA from 1 species
AUGGGUUUCCCGAUGCAGCUUACAGCACAGCUGCAGGAACGCUGGCGCUGGCGCGAAGGAGGAGACGGUGGGCGGUGGGAAGCAGCAGCCGGCGAAGAGCAGGGUGGCUUUUUUGGCAGCGGCGUUGGCUCGCACAAGCAAAGGAGUCACCGUAGCUCUCCUGGCGUUCCCGGCAAUAGCAGAGCAGAUCCUGCACGCACGGUGUCCGGCUGUCACCUGCUGACUGAGGCAGGCAACUGCAUGAGCCCUGGCGGUUUUGGCAACGCCGUGCCCUUGCCGGGGCACGUGGGCUCGACGCGAUCCCGAACCGCAUCCGCCGUCGGCGCCGUUCGGUCGUGCUGCAAGCUCUGUCCGACGGAAUCUCACUUGGAGGCAAAUUCUGGUUCACAGACACAGAAAAGCGUAUGGAGACGCCAAAGACCCUCUCUUCAGCCUGUUCCCAA